rnacentral:rRNA from 1 species
AACGCUAGCUACAGGCUUAACACAUGCAAGUCGAGGGGCAGCAUGGUCUUAGCUUGCUAAGGCUGAUGGCGACCGGCGCACGGGUGAGUAACACGUAUCCAACCUGCCGUCUACUCUUGGCCAGCCCUCUGAAAGGAAGAUUAAUCCAGGAUGGGAUCAUGAGUUCACAUGUCCGCAUGAUUAAAGGUAUUUUCCGGUAGACGAUGGGGAUGCGUUCCAUUAGAUAGUAGGCGGGGUAACGGCCCACCUAGUCAAUGAUGGAUAGGGGUUCUGAGAGGAAGGUCCCCCACAUUGGAACUGAGACACGGUCCAAACUCCUACGGGAGGCAGCAGUGAGGAAUAUUGGUCAAUGGGCGAUGGCCUGAACCAGCCAAGUAGCGUGAAGGAUGACUGCCCUAUGGUUGUAAACUUCUUUUAUAAGGGAAUAAAGUGGAGUAUGUAUACUCUUUUGUAUGUACCUUACGAAUAAGGAUCGGCUAACUCCGUGCCAGCAGCCGCGGUAAUACGGAGGAUCCAAGCGUUAUCCGGAUUUAUUGGGUUUAAAGGGAGCGUAGGCGGAUGUUUAAGUCAGUUGUGAAAGUUUAAGGCUCAACCUUGAAAUUGCAGUUGAUACUGGACGUCUUGAGUGCAUUAAAUGUGGGCGGAAUUCGUGGUGUAGCGGUGAAAUGCUUAGAUAUCACGAAGAACUCCGAUUG